UGCUGGAGCGAAUAGAAGUGAGCAUGCAGGCAUGAGUAGCGAUAAUUAAUGUGAGAAUCAUUAACGCCGUAAACCCAAGGUUUCCUACGCGAUGCUCGUCAUCGUAGGGUUAGUCGGGUCCUAAGUCGAGUCCGAAAGGGGUAGACGAUGGCAAAUUGGUUAAUAUUCCAAUACCAACAUUAGUGUGCGAUGGAAGGACGCUUAGGGCUAAGGGGGCUAGCGGAUGGAAGUGCUAGUCUAAGGUCGUAGGAGGUUAUACAGGCAAAUCCGUAUAACAAUACUCCGAGAACUGAAAGGCUUUUUGAAGUCUUCGGAUGGAUAGAAGAACCCCUGAUGCCGUCGAGCCAAGAAAAGUUUCUAAGUUUAGCUAAUGUUGCCCGUACCGUAAACCGACACAGGUGGGUGGGAUGAGUAUUCUAAGGCGCGUGGAAGAACUCUCUUUAAGGAACUCUGCAAAAUAGCACCGUAUCUUCGGUAUAAGGUGUGGUUCGCUUCGUAUUAGGAUUUACUCCGAAAGCGAAGAAACUUACAACAAAGAGUCCCUCCCGACUGUUUACCAAAAACACAGCACUCUGCUAACUCGUAAGAGGAUGUAUAGGGUGUGACGCCUGCCCGGUGCUCGAAGGUUAAUUGAUGGGGUUAGCAUUAGCGAAGCUCUUGAUCGAAGCCCGAGUAAACGGCGGCCGUAACUAUAACGGUCCUAAGGUAGCGAAAUUCCUUGUCGGUUAAAUACCGACCUGCAUGAAUGGCGUAACGAGAUGGGAGCUGUCUCAAAGAGGGAUCCAGUGAAAUUGUAGUGGAGGUGAAAAUUCCUCCUACCCGCGGCAAGACGGAAAGACCCCGUGGACCUUUACUACAGCUUGACACUGCUAUUUGGAUAAGAAUGUGCAGGAUAGGUGGGAGGCUUUGAGUAUAUGACGCCAGUUGUAUAUGAGCCAUUGUUGAGAUACCACUCUUUCUUAUUUGGGUAGCUAACCAGCUUGAGUUAUCCUCAAGUGGGACAAUGUCUGGUGGGUAGUUUGACUGGGGCGGUCGCCUCCCAAAUAAUAACGGAGGCUUACAAAGGUUGGCUCAGAACGGUUGGAA
rnacentral:rRNA from 1 species